GCCAUAUCACAUUAAAACACCAGUUCCAUACAUUCACUGAAAUUAAGCAACAUUGAGCCUGGUAAGUACUUAGAUGGGUGGCCACUUGGGAAUACCAGGUGCUGUAAG